rnacentral:misc_RNA from 1 species
UCGUACAAAAUGUGUGAGGCAUGCAAGGGUUGUCGCUGGCUUUCAACGUUGUUGCACGCCGGAGCGUGUCCUCUCACAUAACACAAUCCAUCUCACCCUUUGUGCACCACCGCGUGGGCACCCUUUGGGAUCGGACCGAUCUCUUAGGGGACUCGCGUUUUCACACAACACCCUUUUAAAAAGUGUAGAAUGACCUCAUUUAUGCGAUCAAUAC